rnacentral:rRNA from 1 species
UACGUAGGGUGCGAGCGUUGUCCGGAAUUAUUGGGCGUAAAGAGCUCGUAGGCGGUCUGUCGCGUCGAUCGUGAAAACUUGGGGCUUAACCCUGAGCUUGCGGUCGAUACGGGCAGACUUGAGUUCGGUAGGGGAGACUGGAAUUCCUGGUGUAGCGGUGAAAUGCGUAGAGAUCAGGCGGAACACCCGUGGCGAAGGCGGCCAGCUGGGCCGUCCCUGACGCUGAGGCGCGAAGGCGUGGGGAGCGAACGGG